UGAGCCUCCAUAUCGAAACGAACAAAGGAAAACAAAAAACAGAGAAGAUUAGCAUGGUCCUUGUGGAAGGAUGACAUGCACAUUUGUGAAGCAUUCCGUAUUUUA
ensembl:snRNA U6 U6 spliceosomal RNA